rnacentral:rRNA from 1 species
CCUACGGGAGGCAGCAGUGGGGAAUAUUGCGCAAUGGGCGAAAGCCUGACGGAGCGACGCCGCGUGAGGGAUGAAGGUCUUCGGAUCGUAAACCUCUGUCAGCAGGGAAGAACGGUCACUGUGCUAAUCAGCAGUGAAUUGACGGGACCUGCAAAGGAAGCACCGGCUAACUACGUGCCAGCAGCCGCGGUAAUACGGAGGGUGCGGGCGUUACUCGGAAUUACUGGGCGGAAAGCGCUCGUAGGCGGUUUGGCAAGUCAAGGGUGAAAUCCCCGCGCGUAACGUGGUAACUGCCUUUGAAACUGGCAAACUGGAGUGUGUGAGAGGAUAGUGGAAUUCCAGGUGUAGCAGUG